ACUCCUACGGGAGGCAGCAGUGGGGAAUAUUGCACAAUGGGGGAAACCCUGAUGCAGCCAUGCCGCGUGUGUGAAGAAGGCCUUCGGGUUGUAAAGCACUUUCAGUAGGGAGGAAGGUAGUGUAGUUAACACCUGCACUAUUUGACGUUACCUACAGAAGAAGCACCGGCUAACUCCGUGCCAGCAGCCGCGGUAAUACAGAGGGUGCGAGCGUUAAUCGGAUUUACUGGGCGUAAAGCGUGCGUAGGCGGCUUUUUAAGUCGGAUGUGAAAUCCCUGAGCUUAACUUAGGAAUUGCAUUCGAUACUGGGAAGCUAGAGUAUGGGAGAGGAUGGUAGAAUUCCAGGUGUAGCGGUGAAAUGCGUAGAGAUCUGGAGGAAUACCGAUGGCGAAGGCAGCCAUCUGGCCUAAUACUGACGCUGAGGUACGAAAGCAUGGGGAGCAAACAGGAUUAGAUACCCUGGUAGCGAGUAG
rnacentral:rRNA from 1 species